GUGGGGAAUCUUCCGCAAUGGACGAAAGUCUGACGGAGCAACGCCGCGUGAGUGAAGAAGGUUUUCGGAUCGUAAAGCUCUGUUGUUUGAGACGAAUGUGCAGACUUUGAAUAAGGGUUUGUAAUGACGGUAUUAAACGAGAAAGCCACGGCUAACUACGUGCCAGCAGCCGCGGUAAUACGUAGGUGGCAAGCGUUGUCCGGAAUUAUUGGGCGUAAAGGGAGCGCAGGUGGGAAUGUAAGUCAGUCUUAAAAGUGCGGGGCUCAACCCCGUGAGGGGAUUGAAACUACAUUUCUUGAGUGCAGGAGAGGAAAGUGGAAUUCCUAGUGUAGCGGUGAAAUGCGUAGAGAUUAGGAGGAACACCAGUGGCGAAGGCGACUUUCUGGACUGUAACUGACACUGAGGCUCGAAAGCCAGGGGAGCGAACGGGAUUAGAUACCCCUGUAGUCC
rnacentral:rRNA from 1 species